rnacentral:tRNA from 1 species
GGAGAGGUGACAGAGUGGUCGAUUGUGCUAGUCUCGAAAACUAGUGUGGGUGCAAGCCUACCGAGAGUUCGAAUCUCUCCCUCUCCG